rnacentral:rRNA from 1 species
GAUGAACGCUAGCGGAAGGCAUAAUACAUGCAAGUCGAACGGAUGUAGCAAUAAAUUAGUGGCGCACGGGUGCGUAACGCGUAUGCAACCUACCUUCAUCAGGGGGAUAACUACCCGAAAGGGUGGCUAACACCGCAUAAUACUAUUGAGUGGCAUCACUUGAUAUUUAAAUAUGAGGAGGAUGAAGAUGGGCAUGCGUCUGAUUAGCUAGUUGGUGUGGUAACGGCGCACCAAGGCGACGAUCAGUAGGGGAACUGAGAGGUUGGUCCCCCACACUGGCACUGAGAUACGGGCCAGACUCCUACGGGAGGCAGCAGUAGGGAAUAUUGGUCAAUGGUGGGAACACUGAACCAGCCAUUCCGCGUGCAGGAAGAAGGGUCUCUGACUUGUAAACUGCUUUAGCAAGGGAAGAAAAAGCUCAUGCGUGAGAAAUUGACGGUACCUUGAGAAUAAGCACCGGCUAACUACGUGCCAGCCGCCGCCGUAAGAC